rnacentral:tRNA from 1 species
GGGGAUAUAGCGUAGAUGGCAGCGCACGGGAAUUUGACUCCCGAUGGAACCGUUCGAGCCGGUUUAUCCCUG